CGAUAAAACUGAAGAAAAUUAUUGACUUUUGUCUCUCUAGUGUCGUAAAAUUUGAUGUUUCUGGUCGGUAUAGCAUUAGUCCGGGGAACAAAUGAUUUUACACUUGCUCAAAUACCAAAAAUUCAGAUAUUUCUACGUCUUUUGCUGUUUUAAUUGACAAAUUCGGGAUAGAAUUGCCAAUCUUAUGAAUGUUUACAUUAAUGUAAUUUUUUUCG
rnacentral:lncRNA from 1 species